UGGGGAAUAUUGCGCAAUGGGGGGAACCCUGACGCAGCAACGCCGCGUGAAGGAUGAAGGUUUUCGGAUUGUAAACUUCUUUGAUGAGGGAAGAAAGAAAUGACGGUACCUCAAAAACAAGCCACGGCUAACUACGUGCCAGCAGCCGCGGUAAUACGUAGGUGGCGAGCGUUGUCCGGAAUUACUGGGUGUAAAGGGCGUGUAGGCGGGUAAACAAGUCAGAUGUGAAAUCCCAUGGCUUAACUGUGGGGCUGCAACUGAAACUGAUUAUCUUGAGUAUCGGAGAGGAAAGCGGAAUUCCCAGUGUAGCGGUGAAAUGCGUAGAUAUUGGGAGGAACACCAGUGGCGAAGGCGGCUUUCUGGACGGUAACUGACGCUGAGGCGCGAAAGCGUGGGGAGCAAACAGG
rnacentral:rRNA from 2 species